rfam:Triticum aestivum genome assembly, contig: Triticum_aestivum_CS42_TGACv1_scaffold_405415_5BL
GAUAUACUCCUUCCGUUCGAAGUUACUUGUCACAAAAAUGGAUGUAUCUACAACUAAAAUACAUCUAGAUACAUUCAUUUUUUGGACGAGUAAUUUCGAACGGAGGGAGUACUUU